CUUUUUUUUGGAUGAUUGGACCGUAUCCCCCUUUUCAUCUGUCUCCCUACUUUGAAGUUUUUUUCCCAACGCCAUGACAUAAAUAGAUAAAUAAAUAAAAUGCAAAAAUAAAAACGAAAGAUAUAUAUGUAUUCGGAUUGGCAUGUUCCACUUUGUCCGGGUUGAAAUCCCCGAGGAUGCAAAUGUACAUUACGCCGCACUGUUUGCAGUACGUACAUGGUACAGGUGUACCGCAUAGGUAUGUAGCUACUAAGACUAUAAACCAAACAGAAUAUCAUAUGUAAAACUAUUACUCUGAAUGCAUUUGACUUGUUUACAAUGUAGCCUGUCGGGGUGUGGUGCAUGUCACACGCGUUGUUUACACGUGCACUUUAGGUGGCAGUGGAGGAAAUUCGAACCAUGUAUGGAUUAUUGUCUCCUGAUAACUUUGGCAGUUAACUUUUGAUUUCAAUCUACUUUUUAAGAAUAAUAUAACCCUCGCUAAUCAUUGCCAACCUGCAUUUCGAUCUUGGCAGAAUGAUCUUCAGCUACAAUUCAAAAUUAAGGGUGGUCUUCAACUUUUAAUCUCCAAGAAGGAAAUGUAAUUAAAAGAUGAAUAAAGUAUCCCUAAGAAUACCAGAAGAAAGGCUAUGUGUUGAGAAAAACAGCCCUUCCUCAGUACCUCAGAACUAGAUGAUAGCCCUUAAUUGUUACUUUAUGCUGAAUAUGACACAGUAUAGAAGAUCUGAUCAUGAAGAAGUAACACCAUUGAUACACUUGCCAACUGCCAAAAUUACUUUCUGAUAGUAUGACGAGAUUAGAAGAUAUCAUGGUGUAGUCAUGACACAAACUGCAAAUCAAAGAAUUAAUUGUCUUCCCCAGAGGAUGAACAGAGCACGAUGGCUUCACAUGGAUAACAUUUCCUUUCGAGUUUUGAAAUUAAUUUGUCAGAAUGUUAUGCAUCGUUAUCAACAGAAAAGAACUUCAUAGGUAGACCAAAGCUGACAUGGGAUGAGAUCCUAGAACAAGACCUAGAGUUUACAGGAUUGGAUAGGAUCAAUCCACUGGGUCGCCAAGUGUGGAAGUACAAACUUCAACCUCGACAGGACAGCCAGGCCUCACCCUUGCAAAAAGAUUAAUUUGGCCUGGAUAGUCAAAAUGAGUGAUGAUGAUUGAUAUCAAGGUCUGACACUGGAAGCUCAGUAAGGGUAGAUGCUGGCAAUGGAGCUGUUUAGCAAUAAAACAAACAAGUUUAACAUUAAACAUAUUUGUAUACUUUUUUGGCUCACCUGAGCCAAAGGCUCAAGUGAGCUUUUCUGAUCACCUUUGCCUGUCAUCUGUCUGUUUAUAAACUUUUCACAUUUUCAUUUUCUUCUCCAGAGUGAACCACUGGGCCAGUUUCAAUCAAACUUGGUAUGCAUCAUCAAUAGAUAAAGGGUAUUCAAGUUUGUUCAUAUAAAGGGUCAUGCACCCUUCAAAAAGGAAAUAAUCAUGGAAAUGCAAAAAUAGGGUGGGGUCAUUUAAAAAACCUUUUCAAGAACCACUGGACCAGGAAAGUUGAAUUCACACGAAAGGUUCCUGUUUUGUGCAAAUCAUGGUCUCUGGGGGUAGGGUGGGGUCACAAUAGAGAAUCAAAGUUUUACAUUCAUAUAUAGUGCAUAUUCAAGUUUGUAAAAAGCUCACAGGGGUAGGGUGGGGGUCACAAUAGGGGAUUUAAGUUUUACAUGUGAAAUAUAUACAAGGAAAAUCUUUUAAAAUCUUCUCCUCAAAAACUAGAUGCAGAACCGUAGCUCUUUGAAAAGAGAGCUUCAGAUGAACCCCUUAUAAAAAAAACUUCAAUUUAUGGCAGAGAAAAAAAGUGCAUGUUUAAGUCCCUCUAUCACUGCAUUCCUGCAUCGCUGUCUCAUGAAUUUAAUAUUAAAUAAUUCCCAACAUAUUUUCCCACUAUACUUGUUUCCAAACAUACUUUCAAAUAUUUUCUAAACCCACAUAUAACCCCAAAACAGCUUCAAGUGAUUUCAAUUUCUUUGUUGAUGUAGCCAUGUUAAGUAGCCAGUCGAUUUGAACCCCAGUUCAUUUCCAUACUCAUACUCAUUUUGAAACAUAAUGUUUGUGUGAACUAAUAUCCUCACAAAUAUUUUUAGUGAAAUAUUUUGGAUGAAAUCAUCCCAGUUGGGUUAAAUACUUAUUAUUCAAAUACUGUAGGUUUGAAUAUUGAACUAAUCUCACAGCUUUCUUAAGUUUGGUCCCCAUCCCCACCAGUCUGUUUUUACGCUUAACUAUUGAAAUGGGGUGUAAGGGAUCAGACUAGGCUUUUAUAGCAUUAUCAAUUUUCAAAAGCUUUAGAAAAAUUAUACAAUUUUAGGUCACUUGAGUAAACUCAGAUGACAUAUUGCUAUUGAUCUGCAUCUAUUGUAGUCCGUCGACAUUAACAAUUGAACAUUUUUAACUAAAUUCUAUAACUGAAAGAUGAAGAUACCGCACAGCGAUCAAUCUACGAUUCAAAUAACGGAAUUCUUUUCAAAUUUAGUAUGAAGCACACAAAUUUACAUUAAACCUUCUUGACAUAGUGCAUAUUCAAGUUUGUUAAAAUCAUUUCCCUGGGAGUUAUGGUGUGGUAACAAUAGGGGGUCAAAGUUUUAUAUGCCAACUGAUAUAAAGGAAAAUUCUUUAAAGAUAUCUCUUGAACUAUUUAAGCUAGGGCUUUCAUAUCUUGUAUAUACAAUUUUUAUGGCAAAACAAAUCUGACCUAUUCAGUAUGUCCUGAACUACAUUGUGUUUAAGGUAGAUCUUUCAUAUAUAUUAUAUAUUAUGAAUUUCUUAUGAUAAAACCUUUCAUCUUGUUGAGGAGCCUCUCACCUCUGGUUGGCGCGGGUUUGAAUCCUGCUCGCACCGGUAAUUGAGAAAGUUUCCCAGUUUACUCUCGGAAGGUCGGUGGUCUCUUCCCAGGUACAUUGUAUCUGGGUUCUCUCUUCCACCAAUAAAAACUGGGCACCACCAGAUAACUGAAAAAUUGUUGAGUGUGGCGGAAAACAGUUAAAACAAUCAAUCAUAUUAUGUUAUUUGACCUUGUGACCCUGAACUCUGAGUUUGACAUACUUUUAAGAAAGUAUAACGUAUUAAGUAUAUCCAGGACUAUUUUAGAUAGGGCUUUUAUGUUUUGUAUAUUGAUUACUUAUGGCAAGGUCUUUCAUAUCAUACCAAGACCUACGACUUUUUACCUUGGUCUUAUCCAGAACAGCAAUAUCAUGCUAGUCAUAUCUUUGUCUUAUAUGAUUUCAUUUUAGUAAUGUUGUGUUCUUUAGAGCUAGGUUUGGGUCACAUUAUUCAUGAGAAUAAAGAUUGAUAAAAUAGCAUUUAAAAAUCAAAACAGCAGGGCCAAGAUGACUCAGGUGAGCGAUGUGGCCCAUGGGCCUCUUGUUGAUUUUGAUAUUUCUACCUAUAUCAUUUGUAUGAGAAAUGGAACUCCUUUUUUUCUUUUACAAAUACAUGUAUUAUCAUAUGGAUCCAUCUUUGUUGAUUAUUUAAUCAAAGGACAUAUUCAAUGUAUUAAAUGUAAAUUUAUGGAUAUGUCUGUGGUUGAAUUACUUAUGUAUGUAUGUAUACAUUUUUCUCGCACAUGCAAUUACAUAUAUGAUGUAUAUAUAUUUACUAAUUGUACAUGUAAUAUCCCCUGUUAUAUAAUAAAAUAUAUGACUGAGAAUAAAA